rnacentral:rRNA from 1 species
UACGUAGGGCGGCAAGCGUUUAUCCGGAAUUUAUUGGGCGUAAAAGAGCUCGUAGGCGGUUUGUCGCGUCUGCCGUGAAAGUCCGGGGCUCAAACUCCGGGUAUCUGCGGUGGGGUACGGGCAGGCUAAGAGUUGGAUAGGGGGAGGAACUGGAAUUCCUGGGUGUAGCGGUGAAAAUGCGCCAGGAGUAAUCAGGAGGGAACACCGGUAGUGGAAAGGGCAGGGAUCUCUGGGCCAAUUACUGACGU